UAGGGAAUCUUCCACAAUGGGCGAAAGCCUGACCGAGCAACGCCGCGUGAGUGAAGAAGGUUUUCGGAUCGUAAAACUCUGUUGGUAGAGAAGAACGUUGGUGAGAGUGGAAAGCUCAUCAAGUGACGGUAACUACCCAGAAAGGGACGGCUAACUACGUGCCAG
rnacentral:rRNA from 1 species